UUUACAGCUGGAUCCUUUGGCAAGUCCAGAUUUAUGUGUGUUGACAUGAAAAUGAAUUGUCGAUACAAGAAGUGUGGGAAGCAAUGCUGACAGUAUUGUAGACUACCAGGACACAAACACAUCUUUGUCUCCAAGAAUGAGCCCUUAAAUCGUGCUCCACACCUUGGCUGCACUUUGCAAUCACCUGGGAAAUGCUAACAUUCCUGGCGCCUGAAUUCAACCCACGGAGAUUCUCAUUUAAUUGAUUUGGGCGUCAGGAGUUUUUGAAGACCCCUAGGUGAUUCUAAGUGCAGGGCGAGGUAGGAACCACUGUUUGGAGUAGAGGUAAGUACCUACCAAAUGGAAAUUUUUUUUCUUGUACACUAAUGUUGCUAAAUUGUUCCUUCUGGCAAAAAAAAAAAAAAUGCAGUUUUUAAAGCAGUUUUCUCCUUCAAGUAUGGUCCUAGGACCAGCAGAAUCAGGAUCACCUGGGAACCCUUAGAAAUGCAAAUUUUCUGGCCCCACCCAAGACCUGCCAGGGCGAGGGGGCGGGGCCCAGCGGUCUUUAAAUAAGCCCUUCAGGGCCCUCGCAGCACCCAGCCCCAGCGAGUUGGAGAGCUACUGCCUUAGAGAGAGAAGAGGAGCACUGUGUCCAAGGAGUGUUAUCGCAAAGUAAACUGAAAGAGAACCGAGACCCAGUUACUUAUUAGGUGUUCUCUCUUCAAAACCCCGCUUGAUUCACAGUCAACUUGAGAAGACACCCUGUGCAAACAGCCUCCAGGUUCUCAGCUCCGCUCAGUUCCAAAGGUAACAAGGCCUAACCCCCUGUUUCCUACGUGUUUUUCAGGCCCCUCCUUGGACUGGUUCUGUUUUGCAGAGUGUGUGGAGCUAUUUGCAUCCCUGCAGUCUCUCUGUUGACUAUUCCCGUCCCCCACCCGUGGCUGUUGCAUCGACCCGCCCAGGUGGAGGCUUGCAACCAAAAUUUGAUGAAAUCGUUCAGUGCUCUGGCUAGAGAAGGAGCAGUUCCAGAAAGGAAUCGAAGUAGCUGUUGACAGAUUCAAAGCUGCCCCGGAUGUGCCGAAGGCCCCAGUCUGAAUAGGACUCCUCUGCGUCAGGGCUGCUGUCACUCUGCGCCAGGCCACCCCCCAGGCUGAGCCACAAAAUCAAGAAGCUGAUGGCCCGCGUCAUCCUGGAACCAGAUAAGAAACAAUAAUUAUGCUGGUGUACAGAGUAUCUGAGGAAGAAUACGCAGAAGAAAGAAUACUCUACAAAUACUCUGCAUCAAACAGGACCUUCAGGAUUUAAAAAGUUUUAUUAAUGAUUAUUUUCUAGAAGCAAUGGUAGGCCUUAAUUUUUUUUUUAAAAAAGAUGAAGAGUUUCUCUUUCCCUUUUCUCACCAAAAUAAGGUUCAGACAUAAUAUGAGAGAAAUAAUAAAAC